AGGGAAGCUUUGCCACAUAGACUCUGGAACCAUGAAUAUAUUUGAUCAGAAGAUCAACUCUGAUGCACUCUUAAAAUUUUCCCAUAUAACCCCCUCCACACAGAAGCACUUGAAGGUCUAUGCAAGUUUUGCUCAAUGUAUGUUUGUGGUGGCUGCAGGAGCCUAUGUCCAUGUGGUCACUCAUUUCAUUCAGGAUUUGAGCUGGGCCCUGCCCUGGAGUUGUGCAUUGCCAUCAAUCCCAGCGUCCUUCCUACUGCCUUCAUGGGCACAGCAAUGAUCUUCACCUGCUUCACCCUGAGUGCACUCUAUGCCAGGCGUUGCAGCUACCUCUUUCUGGGAGGUAUUUUGAUGUCAGCCAUGAGCCUGAUGUUCUUGUCUUCCCUGGGAAACCUUUUCUUUGGAUCGAUUUGGCUUUUCCAGUCAAACCUGUAUGUGGGGUUGGUGGUCAUGUGUAGCUUUCUCCUUUUUGACACUCAACUCAUUAUUGAAAAGGCUGAAAAUGGAGAUAAAGAUUAUAUCUGGCACUGCGUUGAUCUCUUUUUAGAUUUUGUUACUCUCUUCAGAAAACUCAUGGUGAUCCUGGCUAUGAAUGAGAAGGAUAAGAAGAAAGAGAAGAAAUGAAAUGACCACCAGCCUUUCCCAAUUUGACAUCCUCUCCCUUCACCCCUCAUUUCUUCUUUGUACACAUUACAGAUGGUGUGUUCUGUGAU